UGUAGGAAGAUCACCUGGGGGUGAGUCUCAGAUUUAUGCUGCAUGAACAAUGACACAAGCUGGAGGCACUGAACAGAAGACCAUUUAGGACUCUGAUGUUCAGUACCUCUUGAUAUCAGGAUUUGCAGAGCAGGGAUACUACAGAUCACGACUAAAUGAGAUUUUCUAACAGAAAUACUAUUGUCAUCCACUGGGUCAGGACCAUUCAGCUAAGGCAGUUGGCUCAGCAAGAAUAUUUUGUAACCAUUUACUAAGGAAGAACUGGCAAGAGUUCUACAUAGAUGCCAGAGAGCAGGUUCCAUGACAUUUGAAGCCAGCCUGAGAAUGCUGUGUCUCCAUAUUGCAUGUUUCCUUUAAAGAUUUUAAGUGAUGCGGUAGAAAUGCCUGUGCUGAUGAAUCAGUAUCAGUGUAAUAUAAGGCAUUUAGUCAGAUGUGAAUAAAAAUAAAAAUAUUACAUAUUA